AGACAGCUACGAAUGGUUCCUCUGUUUCCUCUCUGCUUUUUUGCACACGUAGUGACUUCUAACAUCGGAAAACAGUUCUCUCUGGACAGGGAAACUAGCAGGUGCUGGACCUCAGACCAAUGUUCACGGAUACCAGAUACGUCAGGGAAAACCUUCUUGUGAUACACUUGUGAACAAGACCAACAUGAUUGUGUGAUCCACGGGAGGGCUGAUGAAGAUAUUCUCAAUAAAUUACUAAGUCUAAGAACCA
rnacentral:lncRNA from 1 species